GACGAACGCUGGCGGCGUGCCUAAUACAUGCAAGUAGAACGCUGAAGGAGGAGCUUGCUUCUCUGGAUGAGUUGCGAACGGGUGAGUAACGCGUAGGUAACCUGCCUGGUAGCGGGGGAUAACUAUUGGAAACGAUAGCUAAUACCGCAUAAGAGUAGAUGUUGCAUGACAUUUGCUUAAAAGGUGCAAUUGCAUCACUACCAGAUGGACCUGCGUUGUAUUAGCUAGUUGGUGAGGUAACGGCUCACCAAGGCAACGAUACAUAGCCGACCUGAGAGGGUGAUCGGCCACACUGGGACUGAGACACGGCCCAGACUCCUACGGGAGGCAGCAGUAGGGAAUCUUCGGCAAUGGACGGAAGUCUGACCGAGCAACGCCGCGUGAGUGAAGAAGGUUGUCGGAUCGUAAAGCUCUGUUGUAAGAGAAGAACGAGUGUGAGAGUGGAAAGUUCACACUGUGACGGUAUCUUACCAGAAAGGGACGGCUAACUACGUG
rnacentral:rRNA from 1 species